CAUGCAAGUCGAGCGGUAGAGAGAAGCUUGCUUCUCUUGAGAGCGGCGGACGGGUGAGUAAUGCCUAGGAAUCUGCCUGGUAGUGGGGGAUAACGUUCGGAAACGGACGCUAAUACCGCAUACGUCCUACGGGAGAAAGCAGGGGACCUUCGGGCCUUGCGCUAUCAGAUGAGCCUAGGUCGGAUUAGCUAGUUGGUGAGGUAAUGGCUCACCAAGGCGACGAUCCGUAACUGGUCUGAGAGGAUGAUCAGUCACACUGGAACUGAGACACGGUCCAGACUCCUACGGGAGGCAGCAGUGGGGAAUAUUGGACAAUGGGCGAAAGCCUGAUCCAGCCAUGCCGCGUGUGUGAAGAAGGUCUUCGGAUUGUAAAGCACUUUAAGUUGGGAGGAAGGGUUGUAGAUUAAUACUCUGCAAUUUUGACGUUACCGACAGAAUAAGCACCGGCUAACUCUGUGCCAGCAGCCGCGGUAAUACAGAGGGUGCAAGCGUUAAUCGGAAUUACUGGGCGUAAAGCGCGCGUAGGUGGUUUGUUAAGUUGGAUGUGAAAUCCCCGGGCUCAACCUGGGAACUGCAUUCAAAACUGACUGACUAGAGUA
rnacentral:rRNA from 1 species